AAAACAAAUAUAAAUCCUGAAGGAGCAAUUGAUUGGUAUACAGUUUAAUUAAAAAAAAUUAAAAAAUAAAUAAAUGAAAUAAUGUACAUUGGCGUAAAGUUAGACCAAAUACAUUUUUUCCAUCCUCCUACCUAUCGUUAUGAAUGUAUAAAAAAGAUAGGGAGUUCACAUAGGUAAUAUAAACAAAUAAGUCAAUAAUAUGUUCAUUAUUUAUCUUUCAAGAGAUAAUGUAGGUAUACAUUAUAAUAACUUUUUACACAGUCGAAAUUAUAUUCCUAACAUUAGUAAAAUAACAUUUUAAUAUAUUUUUUAUAGGUUAUGUAUUGAAAGUGUUGGAAAAUUAUUUCAUGUUUUAGCUGGAAAACGACAUUGGGAAUUAUAUGCAAUACAAGAUAAUGGGCUCCAUCAAAUGAAUUCGAAUGAAACCAAACUGUUUACCAUCCAAAUUCGAUUGUCGGGCAGAUAGAAAACGAAAAUUCACUCAAAGUGAACCUCGACCUGCAUUUGUGAAACGGCAAAGACUCACUAUUGUCAAGGAGAUUGAAGAGACGACUAAAAAUGAUAUGUGUUAUAUUAUUAUACCUUUGCCAUCUUGUAGUCAAGAUGUCCAGCCACUUGAAAAUAGGUGUAGUAAUGACAAAGCUAUCCAAGUAGCUCCAGCACAGGAACACAAAGGCAAGGCAAGUGUAUAUUGCCACAUCACCUCUAAAUAUAUCUGAAGCAAGUACAAGUAAGCAAUCAGAACCAGCAAAAAGAAAACUGUUGUUCCUGAGGACAAAUUUGACAGUUGGGGUAGCAAGGGGGCGUGUAAAUAGCCCUCCUGCGGCGGGAGCAUAUAAAGCGGGGUUGUAGAAAGGCGUGUAAAUAGCCGUCCUAAGCGGUAUGUGACAAAUGUUUGUCACUUAUAAUUAGCGGAGCGGUAAAACUAUAUAGCGGUAAACAAAAGCUAGUAAUCAAACUAAAGAUAUAAAUUAAAUACACAUAAGCGAGCGGGCGGGCGAAUGAUUACACGGAAGCAGCAAUAAAAUGGCAAUAAAUUAAAAGAACUUGCACUCACCUGUAGACCUUGCCAGUGACUGUUGUGCGGGCGUCGGCGAUGGAUGCACGCGGGCGGCGGGGGGGGGGGUGACGAAGCUCACGUAGCUUUUCGUAAGCUCAAGCACCACACAAUAUACAAGUGCCGCCAUCUAGGCAGCUAGCGGUAAAGCGUGAUCGAUCGGGUAGAACCACGCUUUGGAUAGUCGCGGUAAUUAGUUACCGACAAACUCCAAAGGUGGCGCCAUCCCAAUAAUUCAUUAGCAUCCCAUUACUAAAUCCGCGUGACCAACAGUGAUGAGUCAAAUGCACCAGCAACAGAAGGAUCAACAGUUGACUAUGAGUUAUCUCUCUAUAUCUCCACUCCAUCAAAGACUUGUGCACUGCAGACUAUAGCUCUCAAGAAGACUAAAAAAGUUGAAAAAAUCAACUUUAUCUAAAGUGAAAAAUAAACCACUUUUUUUUUUUUUUUUUUUAUUGCUUAGAUGGUUGGACGAGCUCACAGCCCACCUGGUGUUAAGUGGUUACUGGAGCCCAUAGACAUCCACAACGUAAAUGCGCCACCCACCUUGAGAUACAAGUUCUAAGGUCUCAAGUAUAGUUACAACGGCUGCCCCACCCUUCAAACCGAAACGCAUUACUGCUUCACGGCAGAAAUAGGCAGGGUGGUGGUACCCACCCGCGCGGACUCACAAGAGGUCCUACCACCAGUGAAUAUUGGUCUUCCACAAGAAUUAUAUUUCAUAAUAAGGCUUGAUUGAGAAACAUACAAAUGUUUCUGAACAAAAUAUUAUAUUAUGUUUGAUGAGAAUAAAAUUAAAUAGAACAUUCUCUCAAUUGGCUGAUGAUUUCGAUAUAUAUGUAAGUCAAGCAAGCAAUAUAUUUUUCAACAAACUCCCAGAAAUUGCAAAUGUAAUAUCACCCCUUGUUAGAGUAUAAAAAAAAACAAUACAAUAAAUAUAUAUGCAGGAAGGAUAAUUGAUGUCAACUUGGUGGAAAAUAGAAAGUUUUUAGGUAGUUUGCCACCUACAAGACCCUUUAAUUAAAUAAGUAAUCCUUACUUAUAAAUAGGAAUUUUUGUAAGCAUUUUCACUCUUCAUUCAAAAACUACUGAACAGAUUUUAAUAAGACUUCUAUGCUGGUCUUGUAUGGCUAGCAACUCAUUAUUAUUUUGAUUCUGUUUUCCACAAAUGUGCUAAAUAUGGGCUUAUAUAUAUGAAAAGGAAUAAAGAUUAAUGUUAUGUAACCUUUGUACCUGUAUGUUAAGAAUAAUUUUUAAAUAAAACAUAUUUAAAUUCAAA